AACUCAUAUAAUUGAUUAUUUUUAAGUAUUUCUGGUGUCUCGGGUCUGUAUAGGAAAUUUUCUUUUGGGAAUGACAGAAAUAAUUGAUAACGUGGUUAAUUUCAAUCAUAUUUAUAUCUGCCUGGCUACAUCUGUAUAAUAUAAAAACGAAAUUGAAAUUUUAGACACUUAAGCUUUAUAAACAAGCAUAAUAGCUCUACACAGCUUAUAGUUCUUGUGGGAAUCGUAUGUGGAAAAAAAGCAAGAUGUCGGCUGAGAACGAACUUCAUCUCGCGAACUAGGCUUAAAAUAUGUAGAAAUAGUAAUCGAAACAAGGAGACAGAAAAUAACGCGAAAGAACAAUGAAAAGGACCGAUACCAUUCGGAAAAAUGAAAUAUCCGAAAAGAAAUAAGAAAAAAAAAAGUAUAUUAUAAAGAAGUUUAAAUAAUAUACUCACGUCUGGGGUAAAAACGUUCUGGUUCAGCCUUAUAGGGCGUGCCCUAUAACUCGUUGUUAAUUUCGUAAAACGAUCCCGAAUCGUUCACUAUCGUAUUAUAAUAGUCUAUAUAGUAAACGAUGCAUAACUAUAUUGUAUUACUGUACUUAAUAACACUGCAGUCGACGAUCGCGCACAUGGCCGCGCGGAAAACGGAAAAUAACUUUUACUCUCUAUACAUUUUGUUUUCGUCUCGCGACCCAAUGCAUUAGUAAUAUACUGUUGAAAUAUUGUGUUGUCGCCGCCGUUAUUGUUACGAAAUAGGAUCGUUGGAUUUCCAUUGUUCGACACUAUGUUAUGUAGCAAAGUUGACAAAAUAAACAUCGUCCAAGGACCGAGAUGUGUGCGCGUUGCACUUGUUGCGUAAUAACGAUUCAAAUGUCUGCGACAAUGGCGAACGGAAAAUAAAAUAAUAACAUGGUCGCCACUAUCUGAUAGUUGUACUACUUAUCUUUACGGUAUCGUGUUAUCAACCGCUGACGAGGAGCGUGCACGCGAGGUGGAAACUUUGAACAAUCAUUUGUUUGAAUCUCUCGAAUCGAUCAAGCUGGACGGGGUUUCGCGC